rnacentral:rRNA from 1 species
UGCAAGUCUCAGUACGAGCUGUAUUAAAGUGAAACCGCAAAAGGCUCAGUAAACCGGUCAUAGUUUACCGGAUAUAUGCCACUUAGGUGGAUAACUGUGGUAAUUCUAGAGCUAAUACAUGCAACCAAGUCCCGACCAGCGAUGGAAAGGACGCUUUUAUUGGAUCAAAACCAUUCGCCCCGGUCCGCCGGGGCGUCUGCUUGAUGACUCUAGAUAACACCACAGAUCGCACGGUCACAGUACCGGCGACGUAUCCGUCAAAUGUCUGACUUAUCAGCUGUCGAUGGUAGACUCUGUGUCUACCAUGGCGCUCACGGGUAACGGGGAAUCAGGGUUCGAUUCCGGAGAGGGAGCCUGAGAAACGGCUACCACAUCCAAGGAAGGCAGCAGGCACGCAAAUUACCCACUCCCGGCACGGGGAGGUAGUGACAAAAAAUAACGAUACGGGACUCAUCCGAGGCCCCGUAAUCGGAAUGAGAACACCCUAAAUCCUUUAACGAGGAUCUAUUGGAGGGCAAGUCUGGUGCCAGCAGCCGCGAUAAUUCCAGCUCCAAUAGCGUAUAUUAAAGUUGUUGCGGUUAAAAAGCUCGUAGUUGGUUCUGCGUGCCACGCUGUCGGUUCACCGCCUGUCGGUGCAACUGGCAUGCCGUGGCAUGUCCUGUCGGUGGCCGACAGGCUUCGCGGCGCGCCCUAUUCGUUCACACGUGUAGGUCGUCGCGCCGAGUUGUCCUCGUAGGCCGGCUCAAUCCUACCGCGGUGCUCUUUACCGAGUGUCGAGGUAGGCCGACACUGUUUACUUUGAACAAAUUAGAGUGCUUAAAGCAGGCUCUGAAAGCAGCCUGAAUAGUGGUGCAUGGAAUAAUGGAACAGGACCUUGGUUCUAUUUUGUUGGUUUUCUGAAUCCAAGGUAAUGAUCAAUAAGGACAGGCGGGGGCAUUCGUAUUGCGACGUUAGAGGUGAAAUUCUUGGAUCGUCGCAAGACGCACUAGAGCGAAAGCAUUUGCCAAGUAUGUCUUAAUUGAUCAAGAACGAAAGUUAGAGGUUCGAAGGCGAUCAGAUACCGCCCUAGUUCUAACCAUAAACGAUGCCAGCCAGCGAUCCGCCGAUGUUCCUCCGAUGACUCGGCGGGGAGCUUUCCCCGGGAAACCAAAGCUUUUGGGUUCCGGGGGAAGUAUGGUUGCAAAGCUGAAACUUAAAGGAAUUGACGGAAGGGCACCACCAGGAGUGGAGCCUGCGGCUUAAUUUGACUCAACACGGGAAACCUCACCAGGCCCGGACAUUGGAAGGAUUGACAGAUCGAUAGCUCUUUCUCGAUUCAGUGGGUAGUGGUGCAUGGCCGUUCUUAGUUGGUGGACUGAUUUGUCUGGUUAAUUCCGAUAACGAACGAGACUCUGACCUAUUAACUAGGCGCUCCCGGUAUAAAUGCCUACCGGCGAGAUU